rnacentral:rRNA from 1 species
UACGUAGGGUGCGAGCGUUACUCGGAAUUACUGGGCGUAAAGUGUGCGCAGGCGGCCGCGCAAGUCGAGUGUGAAAGCCCCGGGCUUAACUUGGGAAUUGCGCUCGAAACUACGUGGCUGGAGUGUGGCAGAGGAAGGUGGAAUUCCACGUGUAGCGGUGAAAUGCGUAGAGAUGUGGAGGAACACCAAUGGCGAAGGCAGCCGUCUGGGCCAACACUGACGCUCAUGCACGAAAGCGUGGGGAGCAAACAGG